GAUGAACGCUGGCGGUAUGCUUAACACAUGCAAGUCGAACGGACUCUUCGGAGUUAGUGGCGGACGGGUGAGUAACGCGUGAGAAUCUGGCUUUGGGUUCGGGACAACCACUGGAAACGGUGGCUAAUACCGGAUGUGCCGAGAGGUAAAAGAGAAAUUGCCUGAAGAUGAGCUCGCGUCUGAUUAGCUAGUUGGUGAGGUAAAGGCUCACCAAGGCAGCGAUCAGUAGCUGGUCUGAGAGGAUGACCAGCCACACUGGGGCUGAGACACGGCCCAGACUCCUACGGGAGGCAGCAGUGGGGAAUUUUCCGAAAUGGGCGAAAGCCUGACGGAGCAAUACCGCGUGAGGGAAGAAGGCUCUUGGGUUGCAAACCUCUUUUCUUAGGGAAGAACAAAAUGACGGUACCUAAGGAAUCAGCAUCGGCUAACUCCGUG
rnacentral:rRNA from 1 species